rnacentral:rRNA from 1 species
UAGUCCACGCAGUAAACGAUGAGUGCUAGUUGUCGGGAUUUUUCUCGGUGGCGAAGCUAACGCGUUAAGCACUCCGCCUGGGGAGUACGGCCGCAAGGCUAAAACUCAAAGGAAUUGACGGGGGCCCGCACAAGCAGUGAAGCAUGUGGUUUAAUUCGAUGAUACGCGAGGAACCUUACCAGGGCUUAAAUGUAAGUUGCAUUAGCUAGAGAUAGCUAUUUCUUCGGACUACUUACAAGGUGCUGCAUGGUUGUCGUCAGCUCGUGCCGUGAGGUGUCAGGUUAAGUCCUAUAACGAGCGCAACCCCUGUUGUUAGUUGCCAGCGAGUCAAGUCGGGAACUCUAACAAGACUGCCAGUGCAAACUGUGAGGAAGGUGGGGAUGACGUCAAAUCAUCACGGCCCUUACGUCCUGGGCUACACACGUGCUACAAUGGUAGGUACAGAGAGCAGCCACAACGCGAGUUGGAGCGAAUCUAUAAAACCUAUCACAGUUCGGAUCGG